rnacentral:rRNA from 1 species
GAGUNCAAGAGGGGAGAGUGGAAUUCCAUGUGUAGCGGUGAAAUGCGUAGAUAUAUGGAGGAACACCGGUGGCGAAAGCGGCUCUCUGGCUUGUAACUGACGCUGAGGCUCGAAAGCGUGGGGAGCAANCAGGAUUAGAUACCCUGGUAGUNCACGCCGUAAACGAUGAGUGCUAGGUGUUAGACCCUUUCCGGGGUUUAGUGCCGCAGCUAACGCAUUAAGCACUCCGCCUGGGGAGUACGACCGCAAGGUUGAAACUCAAAGGAAUUGACGGGGGCCCGCACAAGCGGUGGAGCAUGUGGUUUAAUUCGAAGCAACGCGAAGAACCUUACCAGGUCUUGACAUCCCUCUGACCGCUCUAGAGAUAGAGUUUUCCUUCGGGACAGAGGUGACAGGUGGUGCAUGGUUGUCGUCAGCUCGUGUCGUGAGAUGUUGAGUUAAGUCCCGCAACGAGCGCAACCCCUAUUGUUAGUUGCCAUCAUUCAGUUGGGCACUCUAGCGAGACUGCCGGUAAUAAACCGGAGGAAGGUGGGGGUGACGUCAAAUCAUCAUGCCCCUUAUGACCUGGGCUACACACGUGCUACAAUGGCUGGUACAACGAGUCGCAAGCCGGUGACGGCAAGCUAAUCUCUUAAAGCCAGUCUCAGUUCGGAUUGUAGGCUGCAACUCGCCUACAUGAAGUCGGAAUCGCUAGUAAUCGCGGAUCAGCACGCCGCGGUGAAUACGUUCCCGGGCCUUGUACACACCGCCCGUCACACCACGAGAGUUUGUAACACCCGAAGUCGGUGAGGUAACCUUUU